rnacentral:rRNA from 1 species
GCUUACACAUGCAAGUCGAACGGUGAAGCAGAGCUUGCUCUGUGGAUCAGUGGCGAACGGGUGAGUAACACGUGAGCAACCUGCCCCUGACUCUGGGAUAAGCGCUGGAAACGGCGUCUAAUACUGGAUAUGUGACGUGGCCGCAUGGUCUGCGUCUGGAAAGAAUUUCGGUUGGGGAUGGGCUCGCGGCCUAUCAGCUUGUUGGUGAGGUAAUGGCUCACCAAGGCGUCGACGGGUAGCCGGCCUGAGAGGGUGACCGGCCACACUGGGACUGAAACACGGCCCAAACUCCUACGGGAGGCAGCAGUGGGGAAUAUUGCACAAUGGGCGCAAGCCUGAUGCAGCAACGCCGCGUGAGGGAUGACGGCCUUCGGGUUGUAAACCUCUUUUAGCAGGGAAGAAGCGAAAGUGACGGUACCUGCAGAAAAAGCGCCGGCUAACUACGUGCCAGCAGCCGCGGUAAUACGUAGGGCGCAAGCGUUAUCCGGAAUUAUUGGGCGUAAAGAGCUCGUAGGCGGUUUGUCGCGUCUGCUGUGAAAUCCGGAGGCUCAACCUCCGGCCUGCAGUGGGUACGGGCAGACUAGAGUGCGGUAGGGGAGAUUGGAAUUCCUGGUGUAGCGGUGGAAUGCGCAAAUAUCAGGAGGAACACCGAUGGCGAAGGCAGAUCUCUGGGCCGUAACUGACGCUGAGGAGCGAAAGGGUGGGGAGAAAACAGGCUUAGAUACCCUGGUAGUCCACCCCGUAAACGUUGGGAACUAGUUGUGGGGUCCAUUCCACGGAUUCCGUGACGCACUUAACGCAUUA